GAUGAACGCUGGCGGCGUGCCUAAUACAUGCAAGUCGAGCGAACAGACGAGGAGCUUGCUCCUCUGACGUUAGCGGCGGACGGGUGAGUAACACGUGGAUAACCUACCUAUAAGACUGGGAUAACUUCGGGAAACCGGAGCUAAUACCGGAUAAUAUAUUGAACCGCAUGGUUCAAUAGUGAAAGACGGUUUUGCUGUCACUUAUAGAUGGAUCCGCGCCGCAUUAGCUAGUUGGUAAGGUAACGGCUUACCUAGGCAACGAUGCGUAGCCGACCUGAGAGGGUGAUCGGCCACACUGGAACUGAGACACGGUCCAGACUCCUACGGGAGGCAGCAGUAGGGAAUCUUCCGCAAAGGGCGAAAGCUUGACGGAGCAACGCCGCGUGAGUGAUGAAGGUCUUCGGAUCGUAAAACUCUGUUAUUAGGGAAGAACAAAUGUGUAAGUAACUAUGCACGUCUUGACGGUACCUAAGCAGAAAGCCCCGGCUAACUACGUG
rnacentral:rRNA from 1 species